ACGGGGGGGGCAAGCGUUGUUCGGAAUUACUGGGCGUAAAGGGCGCGCAGGCGGUUUCGUCAGUCAUGGGUGAAAGCCCCGGGCUCAACCCGGGAAUGGCCUGUGAAACCACGGAACUGGAGUGCUGGAGAGGGAAGCGGAAUUCCCAGUGUAGCGGUGAAAUGCGUAGAUAUUGGGAGGAACAUCUGUGGCGAAGGCGGCUUCCUGGACAGACACUGACGCUGAGGCGCGAAAGCCAGGGGAGCGAACGGG
rnacentral:rRNA from 1 species